UACGAAGGGGGCUAGCGUUGCUCGGAAUCACUGGGCGUAAAGCGCACGUAGGCGGCUUGUUAAGUCAGGGGUGAAAUCCUGGAGCUCAACUCCAGAACUGCCUUUGAUACUGGCGAGCUUGAGUCCGGGAGAGGUGAGUGGAACUGCGAGUGUAGAGGUGGAAUUCGUAGAUAUUAGGAAGAACACCAGUGGCGAAGGCGGCUCACUGGUCCGGUACUGACGCUGAGGUGCGAAAGCGUGGGGAGCAAACAGG
rnacentral:rRNA from 1 species